CCUACGGGAGGCAGCAGUAAGGAAUAUUCCUCAAUGGACGAGAGUCUGAACCAGCCAAGUAGCGUGAAGGAUGACUGCUCUCUGGGCUUAAAACUUCUUUUAUAUGGAAGUAAAAUGUUUCACGUAUGGGAUUUUGUCUGUACCAUAUCAAAACGGAUCGCCUAAGCUCGGGACAGCACCCGCGGUAAUACGGAGGAUCCGAGCUUUACCCGGAUCUAUUGGGUUUAAAGUGAGCGUAGGUGGAUUGUUAAGUCAGUUGUGAAAGUUUGCGGCUCAACCGUAAACGUGCAGUUGAAACUGGGAGUCUUGAGUACAGUAGAGGAGAGCGGAAUUCGAGGUGUAGCGGUGAAAUGCGUAGAUAUAAGGAAGAACUCCAGUUGCGAAGGCAGCUCACUGGACUGCAACUGACGCUGAGGCUCGAAAGUGUGGGUAUCAAACAGGAUUAGAUACCCCAGUAGUC
rnacentral:rRNA from 1 species